UCCGAAGGGGGCUAUCGUUGUUCGGAAUUACUGGGCGUAACGCGCACGUAGGCGGAUUAGUAAGUCAGGGGUGAAAUCCCGGGGCUCAACCUCGGAACUGCCUUUGAUACUGCUGAUCUCGAGUCCGGAAGAGGUGAGUGGAAUUCCUAGUGUAGAGGUGAAAUUCGUAGAUAUUAGGAAGAACACCAGUGGCGAAGGCGGCUCACUGGUCCGGUACUGACGCUGAGGUGCGAAAGCGUGGGGAGCAAACAGG
rnacentral:rRNA from 1 species